rnacentral:rRNA from 1 species
CUACCCUUGACAUGCCAGGAACUCCGUGGAGACAUGGAGGUGCUCGAAAGAGAACCUGGACACAGGUGCUGCAUGGCUGUCGUCAGCUCGUGUCGUGAGAUGUUGGGUUAAGUCCCGCAACGAGCGCAACCCUUGCCAUUAGUUGCUACAUUUAGUUGGGCACUCUAAUGGGACUGCCGGUGACAAACCGGAGGAAGGUGGGGAUGACGUCAAGUCCUCAUGGCCCUUAUGGGUAGGGCUUCACACGUCAUACAAUGGCGCGUACAGAGGGUUGCCAACCCGCGAGGGGGAGCCAAUCCCAGAAAGCGCGUCGUAGUCCGGAUUGUAGUCUGCAACUCGACUACAUGAAGUCGGAAUCGCUAGUAAUCGCGGAUCAGCAUGUCGCGGUGAAUACGUUCCC